UCGAGAAUCAUUCGCAAUGGGCGCAAGCCUGACGAUGCGACGCCGUGUGAACGAAGAAGGCCUUCGGGUUGUAAAGUUCUUUCGCUUGGGAACAAGUGAUAUAGGUAAAUAAUCUAUAAAAUUGAGUGUACCAGGUAAAGAAGCACCGGCUAACUCCGUGCCAGCAGCUGCGGUAAUACGGAGGGUGCAAGCAUUAAUCGGAUUUACUGGGCGUAAAGGGCGCGUAGGCGGUAUAGCAAGUCAGAUGUGAAAUUCCAGAGCUCAACUUUGGAGCUGCACCUGAAACUGCUAAUCUAGAGGAUAGACGGAGAAAAUGGAAUUCCACGUGUAGCGGUGAAAUGCGUAGAUAUGUGGAGGAACAUCAGUGGCGAAAGCGGUUUUCUAGUUUAGACCUGACGCUGAGGCGCGAAAGUGAGGGGAGCAAACA
rnacentral:rRNA from 1 species